GCCCUCUUGAGCUCUUGUGGUGACCUGGGAAUCAAUGUGUGAGGUGGUGCUAUGUAGCAGGAACCCCUCUUGCUUUGCAAAUAGUUUUUUGUUUGUUUUCCUUUUUGCCCAAUAGAGCCCUGCUCUACUGACCCUUCAAUGUGCCCGUGUGCCUAAAUAUUCCUGGUCGUGUGAAAAGAACCCAGGUAUUAGCUGAACUAAGGAGCACAAUUCUGCAACAUUUUGGCACCCAAACACGGGGCUUGAGAAAUGAAUGCAAUUGGAGAAACUGGUUGUUUUACCAGGCGUUGAUUGGAAAUGUGUGCUUCCCUUUAAGCAGUCAAGCUCAACUUGCAGAACUGAUGGGAACCCCUUGGGAAAACUGGCCUCAAAUGUUUGUCUACACAGUCCACAUACAGGGUUCUUAACCUGCGGAAACACUUUCUGAAAAUGUCAGAACUCUUGAAAACAUGGAUGAGGAAAAGCAUAAGUACUGCUUUAUGCUUUUCUUAUGAAUUUUAAAAGAUGUAAUUUAAAGAUGGAGUCUUGUUCUGUGGUCCAGGCUAGAGGGCAGUGGCAUGAUCUCGGCUCACUACAAGCUCUGCCUCCCGGGUUCACGCCAUUCUCCUGCCUCAGCCUCCUGAGUAGCUGGGACUACAGGCGCCCGCCACCACGCCUGGCUAAUUUUUUGUAUAUUUACUAGAGAUGGCUAGUGUUAGCCAAGAUGGUCUCGAUCUCCUGACCUCGUGAUCUGCCCACCUCAGCCUGCCAAAGUGCUGGGAUUACUGGCGUGAGCCACCGUGCCUGGCCAGCAUCCUCUAAUUAUUAUUCAUAGUUUGUGAAUUUAGGCCUACGUGAAUAAUAAUAUAAUAUUUACUAUGAUGUUACUAUCUACCAACCUUAUUUUUCUUUUCUAUAAAAUAGGAGCCAAAAUAAUAUUUAUGUCAUACCUUAUGAAGUUAAAAUAAAAUAUAACGAAUGAGGGGCUUAACAA
rnacentral:lncRNA from 1 species